CUACAGCUACUACCAACACCCAGCCUGCUUUUGGAAGUUCUAGUCCUGUAUUCUCAUUUGGUUCAGCUCCUGUUAAUAACGAUCAGAUGAACAUGGAGGACAGUAUGGCCGAGGACACAGUUCAAGCAACUCCACCAGCAAAUCAACCUGCAACUCCUGUGUUUGGCCAACAACCUGCCCCACUUCAAUCAAAUUUUGCAUUUGGAGCAUCAACUCCAACAGGGGCUACUCCUUUCCAGUUUGGGAGUCAACAGAACAUCACCCCCCAGAAUCCAUCUCCAUUUCAAGCUUCUGGAAGUCUCGAAUUUAAUGCUGGUGGGAGUU
rnacentral:lncRNA from 1 species